UACGGGGGGGGGCAAGCGUUUGUUCGGAAUUACUGGGCGUAAAGGGCUCGUAGGCGGCCAACUAAGUCAGACGUGAAAUCCCUCGGCUUAACCGGGGAACUGCGUCUGAUACUGGAUGGCUAGAGGUUGGGAGAGGGAUGCGGAAUUCCAGGUGUAGCGGUGAAAUGCGUAGAUAUCUGGAGGAACACCGGUGGCGAAGGCGGCAUCCUGGACCAAUUCUGACGCUGAGGAGCGAAAGCCAGGGGAGC
rnacentral:rRNA from 1 species